GACGAACGCUGGCGGCGUGCUUAACACAUGCAAGUCGAACGAUGAAGCGGGUGCUUGCACUCGUGGAUUAGUGGCGAACGGGCGAGUAACACGUGAGUAACCUGUCCUUUUCUUUGGGAUAACGGCUGGAAACGGCUGCUAAUACUGGAUAUUCAGGCUGCAUCGCAUGGUGUGGUUUGGAAAGGUUUUUUCUGGGAUUGGGUGGGCUCGCGGCCUAUCAGCUUGUUGGUGGGGUGAUGGCUUACCAAGGCUUUGACGGGUAGCCGGCCUGAGAGGGUGGUCGGUCGCACUGGGACUGAGAUACGGCCCAGACUCCUACGGGAGGCAGCAGUGGGGAAUAAUGCACAAUGGACGAAAGUUUGAUGCAGCGACGCCGCGUGGAGGGUGUAGGCCUUCGGGUUGUGAACUCCUUUGUCUCGCGAAAAAGGCACAGUUUUGGCUGUGUUGAUGGUAGUGGGGGAAGAAGCGCCGGCUAACUACGUG
rnacentral:rRNA from 1 species